GGCGCCUUCUUCCAUCGGUUAGGAAACUGGGUUUUCAUCCCAGUAAGACGGGUUCGACUCCCGUAGGCGUCA
rnacentral:tRNA from 1 species